GACGUAGGUGGCGAACGUUAUCCGGAAUUAUUGGGCGUAAAGGAUGCGUAGAUGGUGUAGUAAGUUAUCGGUGGCAAAUCGAGGCUCAACCUCGUGGAAGUCGGUAAUACUGCUAUGCUGGAGGAUAGGAGAGGUUAACGGAACUCCCUGUGGAGCGGUGAAAUGCGUAGAUAUAGGGAAGAACACCAAUAAGGCGAAGGCAGUUAACUAUUCUAUUCCUGACAUUGAGGCAUGAAAGCGUUGGGGAGCAAAACGG
rnacentral:rRNA from 1 species